AUUGAACGCUGGCGGAAUGCUUUACACAUGCAGGUCGAACGGCAGCACGGACUUCGGUCUGGUGGCGAGUGGCGAACGGGUGAGUAAUACAUCGGAACGUGCCCAGUCGUGGGGGAUAACGUAGCGAAAGCUACGCUAAUACCGCAUACGAUCUAAGGAUGAAAGCGGGGGAUCGCAAGACCUCGCGCGAUUGGAGCGGCCGAUGGCAGAUUAGGUAGUUGGUAGGGUAAAGGCCUACCAAGCCGACGAUCUGUAGCUGGUCUGAGAGGAUGAUCAACCACACUGGGACUGAGACACGGCCCAGACUCCUACGGGAGGCAGCAGUGGGGAAUUUUGGACAAUGGGCGCAAGCCUGAUCCAGCCAUUCCGCGUGCAGGAUGAAGGCCUUCGGGUUGUAAACUGCUUUUGUACAGAACGAAAAGGCUCUGGUUAAUACCCGGGGCUCAUGACGGUACUGUAAGAAUAAGCACCGGCUAACUACGUGCCAGCCGCCGCAGUAA
rnacentral:rRNA from 1 species